CUGCCGGUUGCAAAACCGAUAACAUUAAUCUAACACCUUGAUUUCUCAAAUAAGAAGGAAAAGAAGAACAAAUUUCAAGGGAAAUGAAUCCAUGCCAUAUUCAUCAUAAAAAGAUUACGUGCACAGAUUUAGUAACUUGAAGUAUCACACAACAAUGAAGCUAAAUGCAAAAAUACAAUAUCUUAUGAUCAUUAAUCAAACACUUCACCAUUUGUGAUGUGUAGAUAACCAUUUGAGAAGACCAGUCAACUUUCUCCCAACAUUGCGAUCUGCCAAUUCCGAGUUCUAGGAACGUCCAUAACAGGUUCUGAAGAAAUUUCGAUUUGAUCAUUUGAAACGGAGACGUUUUGGGAUUUAGUUGAAUUUGCACGUCAAAAGUCUAAUUUGGGGUCAACACACCACCGCCGCCGCAAACCCUUUGUUCCGUUCAACAUCAGAAUCUCGCCGUCACCUUGUACUAACUCCAUCACCAUCUCAAUCACCAUCUCCGUUAGCCGUCAUCCUCUACGAUCUCGGUUUCUAAGACCUGGCCAACGCAUCUCUCAACGCCAACAUCUCCACCAUUAAUUUCCCACUUACCAUUUUCGCCCCUACAGAUUCCUCCCUCCGCACUUGCCCUUCUUGUUCCCUUCCCCUGCUUCUUCAAGAACAUUCUGUUCUUGGUCUCUACUCUUUCCUCUUCCUCUGUAACCUAGCUUUUGUUACAAAGAUGGAAACUUUAGCCCUUCAGCCAGCUCGUCGCAAUGCAUCACCGCCGGCCAAAUUUUCGUUAACUUGGAAUUCAGGAAACAAGCUCCUUCAAAAACCCGAUACAUGAUUUCUGAUCCAUAUUCUUCUAUGAGAAAGCUAAACUCAACUUCUCCCUCUACACCAAAUGAAAAUCUUCAAAUUAAUGUAGUCUCCGUGGCACUUUAAUGGUGGUAUUAUCCGAGCCUUCAGCAACCAAAACUUCUAUAUCAUCAUACAGGGUGGAUGGAUCAUCUCCAAGAGUUGAAAUGCUUUAAUUUUGAGUGUCCAAUACACUCCUGGUUGUUUUCUAUUGUUGAUCAAACAUCAUUUUCAACUGUUUUCCUUGUUCUUCAAUCCUCAACUGUAACUUUUGCCGAAUCUAAUUACAAAGAAGACAAUACGAAUCAAAUAAGAUGUCUUGAUUCAUGAAAAAGUAUCAUGAAUGAGAGUGACAUAUGCUAGCAAAACAAAUUUGGUCCUAGUUUGCUAAAGGUGUGCUAAAAAUAAAGUACCUCUAGUUGCUCGUGAAGAUGCCUCUGGACUUCGAGCUGCAUUUGCAGUGCUUCCUUGAUUUGCAUUCCUCUGCAACACAAGUUCGGAUCAGAUUUAGUUUCAGCUAAAGUUUAUCAGGAAAAUUAAAUGAGAAAGUUGCAAAGGAAAAUAUACGUUUUGCUGUCGAUCUGUACAACAUUAUUAGGACUAUUUCUUGUUUUAGAUGCGCCUGCAAGAAGAAAACUCUGAAAAGGGAAGUGAGUGUUAUCGCAGUGUUCAGCAUCCAAAACUUCUGUAUCAUCAUAUGGGUGGGAUGGAUCAUCUCCAGGAGAUGAAAUGCUUGAAUUUUGAGUGUUUAAUAGACUUCUUGUUGUUCUUUGUUGUUGAUCAAAUAUCAUCUUCCACUGUUUUCCUUGUUCUUCAA